rnacentral:rRNA from 1 species
GAGGAAUUACUACAUACACUGCUAGACGGAUAGCUUGGUUUGAAUUGCGAUGAAGGACGUGGCAAGCUGCGAUAAGCUUGGGGUAGCCGCAUGCGGGCUUUGAACCCAAGAUUUCCGAAUUCGACAACGUUCUAGUAAUAGAAUAUAGAGAUAUAAGCAUACGCUGGGAACUGAAACAUCUUAGUACCAGCAGGAAGAGAAAAUAAAAAUGAUUCCCCCAUUAGCAGCGAGCGAAAAGGGAUCAGGGCAAACCGAAUCUCCUUUUGAAAAGAAGGUAGAGAUGUGGUGGAAGUUAAGGCUAAGUCAUGGAGAGAAAGUUUUCUGGAAUGAAGCACUUUAAAGGGUGAUAGUCCCGUACUCUAACGUGAUAUGCUAUAUUCCAAAAGAGUAGGGCCCCCUAGAUAGGAGGUCUGAAGACGGCAGGAUUAACUGCCAACCCUAAAUAUAAAUUCAAGUCCGAUAGCGAACUUAGUACCGCGAGGGAAAGCUGAAAAGCACUCUUAAUAGAGGGUUAAAAGACUUGAAAUCUAGCAGUUACAGCUGGCUACAGCAUUAAGGUGUUGUAGCGUACGUUUUGAAAAACAGGCCACGGAGUAUUCGCAUGUGGCGAGGUUAAUUUAUGAAGCCGUAGCGAAAGCGAGUUCGAAAGAGCGUUAGUCACAUGCGCAUGACCCGAAGCCAGAUGAUCUACUCGUGGGCAGAACGAAGUUCUCCGAAAGGAGAAUGGAGGUUCGAACCAGUAUUGUGCACAUGCAUUUGGAUGAUCUGCGAGUGGGGGUGAAAAGCCUAUCUAAUCUGGCGAUGGCUGGUUCCUGUCGAAAUAUGCCUAAGUAUAGUCUCGUUUGAGCUUGUCAGCGGGGUAAAGCACGGAUGGAACUUGCAGAGCCUAUAUGGCUACGGAGUUCGAUUCCAACUCUGAACUUGCUGACUGUAAUCAACGGGAAUGGCGGGCAGUGCGUAAGGUACUGUUCGAAGACCCGAACAAGGGAGACUGGAGUUAAGGUCCCAAAAUAUGUGUUAAGUGUAACAAACCUAGUUUUAAACCUGAGACAGUAGGGAUGUAGGCUUAGAAGCAGCCACCAUUUAAAGAAAGCGUAACAGCUCACCUAUCGAGGUUUGAAGCAGGGAAAAUGGACAGGGCUAAACACAUUACCGACACUCCAGAGGCACUCGCAAGAGUGUUCUGGUAGGCAGGCGUACUUUUUGCGUAGAAGUAUUUUCGAAAGAAAGUAUGGAGCGAAAAGUAAUGAGUAUCGUGGUGCUAGUAAGAUCAGAUUAUCCUGAGAACGGAUAGCGUCGAAAGAGCAAGGUUUCCUUGGCACUAUUGUUUAACCAAGGGUUAGUCGGCUCCUAAGUCAACUCUUAACUGCGGUUGGCGAUUGGACAUCUGGUUAAUAUUCCAGAACUUUCUAUGUAUUACAUUGCACGAUGUGCUUGGGGAUAAGCGGAGGUUCGAGAGAACUUCUAGGCAAGAAAAUUAGGGAGCGUAAUGCUUUAAUCUAGUUGAAUUGUUUGGAUAAAUUUGCUGACUCCUAGAGUCCUUGAAAAAUUUGUGUACUUUACAUAGAAGCCGUACCAAGAACUGACACUGGUGCUCUAGCUGAAAAGGCUAAGACGUGAAAGGUAUAACCUGGUUAAGGGAACUCGGCAUAUUGGCCCCCUAGCUUCGGUAGAAGGGGUGUCUAUGGAUGUCUUUGAUUUAUCGAAGGCGUUUGUAGAUCUCAGUAACAAGGACCGUCCGACUGUUUAUCAAAAACGUAGCCGAUUGCCAAUCUGAAAGGAUUUAUAUAAUCGGUGAGUCCUGCCCAGUCGCGGUGUUUCAAACCCUCGUUCAAGAGGGCUAAGACCCGUGAAACGGCGGGCCUAACUAUGAGGCUCUUAAGGUUGAAUAGAAAACUAAACUGCCUUACGAGAUUAAGAAAUAAAUUAAAAUAAAAAUUAAUUUUGCUCAAGCUUCAUAGACAGGCAAAAUAAACAAAAAGACAUAUUUGAAAAUUGAAAUAAACAUAUGCGAGAUCCAUGAGAAAAUCUAACUAUAUGCUGGAACAUCUGAGAAUGUCACUUUACGACGACAACUUAAUUUUUAAAGUUUGUUGGCGUGAAAAUAAGAUGACUGCAGACAACCAAGCAGGAAAGAUUCAAUAUAAUCAGCUUUCUAAUGAGAUUGAAAAAUCUUAUUUAUUUGGAGUUUAUUUAGGAGAUGGCUGUUGCUUUAAAUCAAAAAGCUAUGGCUUUUGUAUAGUCUCUGGAGAUAAAGAUGUAAUCGAAAAAACAUGCUUUAUUGUAAAUAAAUUAUUCAAUAAAAAAGGAUUUUUAAAAGAAAUAAUACCAAAUAAAACUAUACUUUAUAAAUACAGAGUUUAUGGAAAAAGUUUAUUUGAAUGUUUAACUCUUCAAACAAAUAAUAAAUCUAAGAUUCCUGAAUUUGUUACAAACUCAGAAAAAGAGAUAUUUUCUGCAUUUGUAGCAGGUUUAAUGGAUACGGAUGGAUACAUAAGCACUGGAACUAACAAGUUCGGUUGGCAAAGAUUUUCUUUAGGGUUUAUUAAUUCUGGAGACUGGAUUGAUGAUUUUAUUUCGUUGUUGCGAAAUUUCGGAGUAAAGGUUGGUAAAAAGACCUUGAAAAAGAAAUAUAGAAGUAUUAAUGAAAAAGAUUGUUUUCAGAUAAAUAUAAAUUUAAGAAGCUUUGUUGAAAAUGGUUUUUAUUUCAAUUGUCGUAGAAAACAGAAUUUACUCGAAAAAUAUAAGGUAAAUGUAAGAUAUCAGUCGUAUUGAAAAUCCUCAGAGAACAUACGUUAGACGUAACAACAAGGAAAGUUUGUAAGAAAACCUUGGUUUGCUUACGAAGAUAUGUUCCGAUCUUUUUCGCGAGAAAAAGAAGUUGUGAAAAAUACAACUUUUAUUUUAGUAUACAAAUUUUUAAAUACUCUUAAUUUAAGGAUUAAGAAUGACUGAAUAUAAUUGCAGAAUUGAAGUUCGAAGAAUUGCAUCUGAAGCGCAUAGCACUUAUGAGGUUAAAACAACUGGCAGUGCGCCAGUUAUGUUGUUGAUACCAAUGAGUGCUUUACAAGAGAAGACUUUAGAAGCUGCAAGAAAUUCAGGAACUUCGGUAACACUCGAUGUAAAAAUCAAUUUACCAGAAUGAGCGUAAUGCCUUGUCAUCUGAAUGGUGACGUGCAUGAAUGGAUCAACGUGAUGGUCACUGUCCCUAACCAGAACCUUCUGAACUCACUUACCGGUGAAAAUGCCGGUGACGCCUAGUGGGAAGCGGAGACCUUGUAGACCUUUACUGCAACUUGUUGUUGUAGCUUUAAGGGGAAUGCAUAGCGUAGGUAGGAGCUUAGAACCUUAGCUUCGGCGAAAGGGGAGCAACCAUGUAACACUACUUAUUUUCCUUAAAGCUGCUUACUCGAGAGAGGACACCAGCAGGCGGGCAGUUUGGCUGGGGCGGCACCCUACAGAAAAGAUAUCUGUAGGGCCUAAUGGUAAACUCAUCCAGGUUGGAAAUCUGGAGUUGAGUGCGAAGGCAAAAGUUUACCUGACUGUAUCUUGCACAGCAAAAGAUGCAGAGAUGAAAGUCGGGCUUAGCGACCCCUCAUGGUCUUUUACUAGGACCUGAGUGUGGCAGAAAAGGUACCUCAAGGAUAACAGGCUUGUCGCGCCCGAUAGUCCAUAUUGACGGCGCGGUUUGGUACAUCGCUGUCGGCUCUUCCUAUCCUGGUUGUGCAUUAGCAACCAAGGGUGUCGGAGUUCACGCAUUAAAAGGGAUCGUUAGCUGGGUUAAAUACGUCGAAAGACAAUCCAGUCUAAUUAGAGAACCAAACCAAGAAUUAGCAAGCAAACAUAAAACGUUAUGACAAAUGUAAAUCUCAAUGGAAAACACAUAGUUUAGAUUACAAGUAAUUAGCUUUAACAUCGCUUAUCAAAGUAGAUGUAUAAGAUAAUUAUUUCAGUUUAAACAUAAUAACACAAACAAGAACGCAAACCACGAAAAACAAACAAUAAUUCACAUCGCGGCGUAGCAUGAAAGCAAUUUCAUGAAAAAUAAAAUUCGCUCAUAUCGGUGAAGUCUUCUUAUUCAAUACUGUAAUAAGAUGGUAACCCCGAGGGAAGUCGUUUUAACUAGCCCUAAGCAGAAAUGCAAGGGAGAGUUUGUAAGAGAACCGUAAGGUUCGCUUAGAAUUGACCCCGUAGAGACUUUAGGAUUAAAUUCCUAAGACUUAUCUUUUACAAAGAUAGGUAAAACGCGAAUCCCCUCAUUCAAGGGUUAGAUUAAGUAGUUAGCUCGUACAUCGCUUAUCAAAGUAGGCGUAUAAGAUAAUUAUUUCGGUUUAAACAUUGACAAGGGUGAAGGUAUAGUCCAUACAAAACAAAUAAAUAAGUUUUGAGUAUAUACGCGAGACAGUAUGUAUGAUAUCUACUAGGCGCGCUGUUGUCUGAGUGGAACGAUUAUCUAGUACGAGAGGAACGGUAAUCGGAUGCCUCUGGUAUAGCGGUUGUUAUGAGCAGGCCGCGCAGCUACGCAUUUACGGAUAAGCACUGAAAGCAUCUAAGUGCGAAGCCGUCCGCAAGACGAGACAACUAAGGCCGUCAAAGAAGAUGACGUUGAUAGAGAUGAUGUGUACGCCCCGAGAAAACGAGGGGUUCAGCAUGCAUCUACUAAAAGCCUCAUAAUAAUUUUAA